CCUUUGAUGCGGGUGCUAUACAUGCAGUCGAGCGGACCGACGGGAGCUUGCUCCCUUAGGUCAGCGGCGGACGGGUGAGUAACACGUGGGUAACCUGCCUGUAAGACUGGGAUAACUCCGGGAAACCGGGGCUAAUACCGGAUGCUUGAUUGAACCGCAUGGUUCAAUCAUAAAAGGUGGCUUUUAGCUACCACUUACAGAUGGACCCGCGGCGCAUUAGCUAGUUGGUGAGGUAACGGCUCACCAAGGCGACGAUGCGUAGCCGACCUGAGAGGGUGAUCGGCCACACUGGGACUGAGACACGGCCCAGACUCCUACGGGAGGCAGCAGUAGGGAAUCUUCCGCAAUGGACGAAAGUCUGACGGAGCAACGCCGCGUGAGUGAUGAAGGUUUUCGGAUCGUAAAACUCUGUUGUUAGGGAAGAACAAGUACCGUUCGAAUAGGGCGGUACCUUGACGGUACCUAACCAGAAAGCCACGGCUAACUACGUGCCAGCAGCCGCGGUAAUACGUAGGUGGCAAGCGUUGUCCGGAAUUAUUGGGCGUAAAGCGCGCGCAGGCGGUUUCUUAAGUCUGAUGUGAAAGCCCCCGGCUCAACCGGGGAGGGUCAUUGGAAACUGGGGAACUUGAGUGCAGAAGAGGAGAGUGGAAUUCCACGUGUAGCGGUGAAAUGCGUAGAGAUGUGGAGGAACACCAGUGGCGAAGGCGACUCUCUGGUCUGUAACUGACGCUGAGGCGCGAAAGCGUGGGGAGCGAACAGGAUUAGAUACCCUGGUAGUCCACGCCGUAAACGAUGAGUGC
rnacentral:rRNA from 1 species